rnacentral:tRNA from 2 species
GUUGGCGUCGCAUAGUUAGGUCUAUUGCGUGGUUCUGAUAAAACCAUAUCUGGUUUCCCCCCGGAUCGUGAGUUCAAAUCUCACCGCCAACG